rnacentral:lncRNA from 1 species
AAAUCUCAAAAGCGUAUGAUGUGCCAGGCACUGUUACAGGGACAGGAAUAUGGUGAUGAACAAAUAUGAAGAAUGAAGAAAUACAGACUUCCAUCUUGGAUUACCACCCUGCCAAAAGUCUGACGAGGGAUUGCAUUAUAUAUUUCCUGCAUCCAAGUGACUCAAUGACCAACCAAUUCUUACUAAAGAAUUUCCCAUCUGGAAUUCAGUUCUCUUCCUCUGGGAGGCUGAGAAUGAAGUACUGGAGGAAGCUCAACAGCUUUUACACUAAUGAAUAUAACUCUUCAUGGAAGCACAAAGAAGGAAUAUGA